rnacentral:rRNA from 1 species
ACGGGUGAGUAAUGUCUGGGAAACUGCCCGAUGGAGGGGGAUAACUACUGGAAACGGUAGCUAAUACCGCAUAACGUCGCAAGACCAAAGAGGGGGACCUUCGGGCCUCUUGCCAUCGGAUGUGCCCAGAUGGGAUUAGCUAGUAGGUGGGGUAAAGGCUCACCUAGGCGACGAUCCCUAGCUGGUCUGAGAGGAUGACCAGCCACACUGGAACUGAGACACGGUCCAGACUCCUACGGGAGGCAGCAGUGGGGAAUAUUGCACAAUGGGCGCAAGCCUGAUGCAGCCAUGCCGCGUGUAUGAAGAAGGCCUUCGGGUUGUAAAGUACUUUCAGCGGGGAGGAAGGGAGUAAAGUUAAUACCUUUGCUCAUUGACGUUACCCGCAGAAGAAGCACCGGCUAACUCCGUGCCAGCAGCCGCGGUAAUACGGAGGGUGCAAGCGUUAAUCGGAAUUACUGGGCGUAAAGCGCACGCAGGCGGUUUGUUAAGUCAGAUGUGAAAUCCCCGGGCUCAACCUGGGAACUGCAUCUGAUACUGGCAAGCUUGAGUCUCGUAGAGGGGGGUAGAAUUCCAGGUGUAGCGGUGAAAUGCGUAGAGAUCUGGAGGAAUACCGGUGGCGAAGGCGGCCCCCUGGACGA